rnacentral:rRNA from 1 species
UAGGGAAUCUUCGGCAAUGGACGAAAGUCUGACCGAGCAACGCCGCGUGAGUGAAGAAGGUUUUCGGAUCGUAAAACUCUGUUGUUAGAGAAGAACAAGGACGUUAGUAACUGAACGUCCCCUGACGGUAUCUAACCAGAAAGCCACGGCUAACUACGUGCCAGCAGCCGCGGUAAUACGUAGGUGGCAAGCGUUGUCCGGAUUUAUUGGGCGUAAAGCGAGCGCAGGCGGUUUCUUAAGUCUGAUGUGAAAGCCCCCGGCUCAACCGGGGAGAGUCAUUGGAAACUGGGAGACGUGAGUGCAGAAGAGGAGAGUGGAAUUCCAUGUGUAGCGGUGAAAUGCGUAGAUAUAUGGAGGAACACCGGUGGCGAAGGCGGCUCUCUGGUCUGUAACUGACGCUGAGGCUCGAAAGCGUGGGGAGCAAACAGG